UGGCCGUAGCGGCGUGCGAGACGCCCCGGCACAUGCGCAGUAGAGCUCCACGUGAACGUCUGCGUUUCUUCUCAGACCCCACGAUGCCGCCGGAACGCAGGAGCCGAACGAAACCAGACAGGAGAGCCGGAGCGGGGCCGGAGCGGAAGCCCGCGAAGAGGACGGAUCGAGGAGCCGAGGCCGGGAGCGGCAGGACGCUCCGAAAGGCUGCCCGUUCAUCCCCACGGACACCGCCGGCCCAGCCGAGCGCCGCAGCCAGCGCGGUCAGCGCCGCGGCGGAGGAGAGCUGGCUCCGGCGGCGGAACCGCCUGGCGCUGGAGGACGACAAACCGGCCGCCGAGCGCUGCCUGGAAGAGCUGGUGUUCGGCGACGUCGAGGACGACGAGGACGCGCUGCUGCGGCGGCUGCGAGGCGCGCGGGGUCAACUCUGUGGAAGCUCAGAUGAUGUGGAAGUGGAGAAUGAAACCAAGGACAAUUUCCCUCAGCAGAAGAAGCCAGUUUGGGUGGAUGAAGAAGAUGAAGAUGAGGAAAUGGUUGACAUGAUGAACAAUCGAUUUCGAAAAGAUAUGAUGAGAAAUACCAGUGAAAGUAAACUUUCAAAAGAUAAGCUUCAAAAGAGACUUAAAGAGGAAUUCCAGCAUGCCAUGGGAGGAGUACCUGGAUGGGCAGAGCCUAGGAAUAAGCGGAAAACAUCUUCAGAGGAUGAAAGUGAAGAGGAUGAAGAUGGUUUGUUGCAAAGGACUGGGAAUUUCAUAUCCACAUCCACUUCUCUUCCAAGAGGAAUUUUGAAGAUGAAGAACUGCCAGCCUGCCAAUGCUGAACGGCCCACCUCUGCUCGGAUUUCGUCAGUGCAGUUCCAUCCUGGUGCACAGGUGGUGAUGGUCGCUGGGCUAGAUAAUGCCAUCUCAUUGUUUCAGGUUGAUGGCAAAACAAAUCCUAAAAUCCAGAGCAUCUAUUUGGACAGGUUUCCAAUCUUUAAGGCUUGUUUUAGUGCUAAUGGAGAAGAGGUUUUAGCCACAAGUAUGCACAGCAAGGUUCUUUAUGUUUAUGAGAUGCUAGCUGGAAAGUUAAUUCCUGUACAUCAAGUGAGAGGUUUGAAAGAGAAAAUAGUGAAGCGCUUUGAAGUCUCACCAAAUGGUUCCUUCUUGCUUAUAACUGGCAUUGCUGGAUUUUCUCAUUUGCUUUCGAUGAAGACCAAAGAACUGAUUGGUAGCAUGAAAAUUAAUGGAAGAGUUGCGGCAUCCACAUUCUCUUCAGAUAGUAAGAAGAUCUAUGUUUCUUCAGGGGAUGGAGAAGUUUACAUUUGGGAUGUGAAUUCUAGGAAAUGCAUUAACAGAUUUGUUGAUGAAGGCAGUUUAUGUGGAUUAAGCAUUGCUACAUCAAGGAACGGACAGUAUGUGGCUUGUGGUUCUAAUAGUGGAGUAGUAAACAUAUACAAUCAAGAUUCGUGUCUCCAAGAAACCAACCCAAAGCCCAUAAAAGCUAUAAUGAACCUGGUUACUGGUGCUACUUAUUUGACUUUCAAUCCCACUACAGAAAUCUUGGCAAUAGCAUCAAGAAAAAUGAAAGAAGCCGUCAGAUUGGUUCACCUUCCUUCCUGUACAGUGUUUUCUAACUUUCCAGUCAUUAAGAAGAGUUCUAUUUCUCGUGUUCAAACCAUGGAUUUUUCUCCCAGAGGAGGCUACUUUGCCUUGGGGAAUGAGAAAGGCAAGGCCCUGAUGUAUAGGUUGCACCAUUACUCAGACUUCUAAAGACAUUGAAGUCAGCUACACCCUCAGUUUAGGGGAGUGGGGUGGAAAUAGAUCAGGAGCUGCCCAGCGGGACGUGAGCCUUCCUUGGGAGUUUCUAAUCCUGGAUCACAAGUCUGCCUCUUUUUCCGAGAUCCGGUGGAGCUCAUGUCAGUAUGUCUUUCUGGAAACUCUUGUGUAUGUGAUAAUACAUGGAUAAUGAUUUGUGGGGGGCCAGCCAUGCAAUUAAUAGUAGUGUCUUAAUAAACGUAUGGUAGCUUUUGUUUAAAAUAA